UUUGGUGGCGAUAGCGAAGAGGUCACACCCGUUCCCAUACCGAACACGGUAGUUAAGCUCUUCAGCGCCGAUGG
rnacentral:rRNA from 1 species